CAGUAGCCACGGUAAUACGGAGGGUGCGAGCGUUAAUCGGAAUAACUGGGCGUAAAGGGCACGCAGGCGGUGACUUAAGUGAGGUGUGAAAGCCCCGGGCUUAACCUGGGAAUUGCAUUUCAUACUGGGUCGCUAGAGUACUUUAGGGAGGGGUAGAAUUCCACGUGUAGCGGUGAAAUGCGUAGAGAUGUGGAGGAAUACCGAAGGCGAAGGCAGCCCCUUGGGAAUGUACUGACGCUCAUGUGCGGAAGCGUGGGGAGCAAACAGGAUUAGAGACCCGAGUAGUCCCUGUCUCUUAUAC
rnacentral:rRNA from 1 species